CCUACGGGAGGCAGCAGUGAGGAAUAUUGGUCAAUGGGCGAGAGCCUGAACCAGCCAAGUCGCGUGAGGGAGUACUGCCCUAUGGGUUGUAAACCUCUUUUGUCGGGGAGCAAAAGCCGGACGUGUCCGGCUGUGAGAGUACCCGAAGAAAAAGCAUCGGCUAACUCCGUGUCAGCAGCCGCGGUAAUACGGAGGAUGCGAGCGUUAUCCGGAUUUAUUGGGUUUAAAGGGUGCGCAGGCGGAUUUUUAAGUCAGCGGUAAAAUCGUGGGGCUCAACCCCAUCCAGCCGUUGAAACUGGGGAUCUAGAGUGUGCGAGAGGUAUGCGGAAUGCGUGGUGUAGCGGUGAAAUGCAUAGAUAUCACGCAGAACCCCGAUUGCGAAGGCAGCAUACCGGUGCACAACUGACGCUCAGGCACGAAAGCGUGGGUAUCGAACAGGAUUAGAUACCCUUGUAGUC
rnacentral:rRNA from 1 species